rnacentral:rRNA from 1 species
AGACCGAUAGCGAACAAGUAGAGUGAUCGAAAGAUGAAAAGCACUUUGGAAAGAGAGUCAAACAGCACGUGAAAUUGUUGAAAGGGAAGCGCUUGCAGCCAGACUUGCUUGCAGUUGCUCAUCCGGGCUUUUGCCCGGUGCACUCUUCUGUAGGCAGGCCAGCAUCAGUUUGGGCGGUGGGAUAAAGGUCUCUGUCACGUACCUCUCUUCGGGGAGGCCUUAUAGGGGAGACGACAUACCACCAGCCUGGACUGAGGUCCGCGCAUCUGCUAGGAUGCUGGCGUAAUGGCUGUAAGCGGCCCGUCUUGAAACACGGACCAAG